rnacentral:rRNA from 1 species
GACGAACGCUGGCGGCGUGCUUAACACAUGCAAGUCGAACGGAGUGGCGAACGGGUGAGUAACACGUGGGUGAUCUGCCUUGGACUUCGGGAUAAGCUUGGGAACCUGGGUCUAAUACCGGAUAGGGAAAGAUGAGCUCGCGGCCUAUCAGCUUGUGGGUGGGGUAAUGGCCUACCCAGGCGUCGAAGGGUGGCCGGCCUGAGAGGGUGUACGGCCACAUUGGUACUACGAUACGGCCCAGUGUCCAACGGGGGGCAGCAGUGGGAAAUAUGGCACAAUGGGCGGAAGCCUGAUGCGGCGGUGCCGGGUGGGGGAUGCAGGCUUUGGGGUGGUAAACUCCUUUCGACAGGGACGCGGUACCUGUAGAAGAAGCACCGGCUAACUACGUGCCAGCAGCCGCGGUAAUAC